rnacentral:rRNA from 1 species
AAUCAACGCUGGCGGCGUGCCUAACACAUGCAAGUCGAACGCGAAGGAAGACUUCGGUUUCUGGAGAGUGGCGCACGGGUGAGUAACACGUGGGUAAUCUGCCUUUGGGUGGGGAAUAACGAUCCGAAAGGGUCGCUAAUACCGCAUAACGCAGCGGCACCGCAUGGUGACAGUUGUUAAAGGGGGGUCGAAAGACCUCUCGCCUGAAGAGGAGCCCGCGUCCGAUUAGCUAGUUGGUGAGGUAACGGCUCACCAAGGCUUCGAUCGGUAGCCGGCCUGAGAGGGCGGUCGGCCACACUGGCACUGAGACACGGGCCAGACUCCUACGGGAGGCAGCAGUGGGGAAUUUUGGGCAAUGGGCGAAAGCCUGACCCAGCAACGCCGCGUGAAGGAUGAAAUCCCCUCUGGGAAUGUAAACUUCGAAAGUCG